rnacentral:rRNA from 1 species
CCGGAGGAAGGUGGGGAGUGACGUCAAGUCCUCAUGGCCUUUAUUGCUUAGGGCUACACACGUGCUACAAUGGGUGGUACAAAGAGAAGCCAACUCGCGAGAGCGCGCCAAUCUCAAAAAGACCAUCCUCAGUUCGGAUUGGAGUCUGCAACUCGACUCCAUGAAGUUGGAAUCGCUAGUAAUCGCGGAUCAGCAUGCCGCGGUGAAUACGUUCCCGGGCCUU